ACCCUGAAAAUUUGUUUCAGUGGUUUUUAUAGACAUCCAUUGACAUCAUUCACGAUAAAGAAGUGGUCCUCCCAUGUGUGUGCUUACGUGAACAAAAAAUGUUAUGUCAUGCUUAGGCCAUGUGGCUCACUGGGUCAAA